ACGAACGCUGGCGGCGUGCCUAACACAUGCAAGUCGAACGAGGCAGCAAUGCCUAGUGGCGGACGGGUGAGUACAACAUAGGUAAUUUGCCCUUCAGUGGGGGAUACCCAGCCGAAAGGUUGGCUAAUACCGCAUACGACCCUCAGGUGGAAAUCCUGGGGAGGAAAGAUUUAUCGCUGAAGGAUAAGCCUGUGGCCGAUUAGCUUGUUGGUGGGGUAAUGGCCUACCAAGGCGACGAUCGGUAGCUGGUCUGAGAGGACGAUCAGCCACACUGGGACUGAGACACGGCCCAGACUCCUACGGGAGGCAGCAGUGGGGAAUUUUCCGCAAUGGGCGAAAGCCUGACGGAGCGACGCGGCGUGGAGGAUGAAGGCUUUCGGGUUGUAAACUCCUUUCGGCAGGGACGAAACAAUGACGGUACCUGCAAAAGAAGCAUCGGCUAACUACGU
rnacentral:rRNA from 1 species